CCCUUAGAUGUUCCGGGCCGCACGCGUGCUACACUGAGUAAUUCAAUGGGUAAGGGAACGCUAGAGCAUUACCUAAUCUUGAAAUUUGCUCGUGAUGGGGAUCGACGGUUGCAAUUUUCCGUCGUGAACGAGGAAUACCUUGUAGGCGCAUGUCAUCAUCAUGCGCCGAAUACGUCCCUGCCCUUUGUACACACCGCCCGUCGCUCCUACCGAUUGAGUGAUCCGGUGAGGCUCUGGGACCUGGACGGAAAGAGCGUUUCGCUUGUUCUGUUUGGGAAACUUGGUCGAACCUUAUCAUUUAGAGGAAGGAGAAGUCGUAACA
rnacentral:rRNA from 1 species